GCCUGGGUGGCGGAACAGGUAGACGCAAGGGACUUAAAAUCCCUCGAUGUUUAACAUCAUGAGAGUUCGAUUCUCUCCCCAGGCACCA
rnacentral:tRNA from 1 species